rnacentral:rRNA from 1 species
GAUGAACGCUGGCGGCGUGCCUAAUACAUGCAAGUCGAGCGAACAGACGAGGAGCUUGCUCCUCUGACGUUAGCGGCGGACGGGUGAGUAACACGUGGAUAACCUACCUAUAAGACUGGGAUAACUUCGGGAAACCGGAGCUAAUACCGGAUAAUAUAUUGAACCGCAUGGUUCAAUAGUGAAAGACGGUUUUGCUGUCACUUAUAGAUGGAUCCGCGCCGCAUUAGCUAGUUGGUAAGGUAACGGCUUACCAAGGCGACGAUGCGUAGCCGACCUGAGAGGGGAAUCGGCCACACUGGAACUGAGACACGGUCCAGACCCCUACGGGAGGCAGAAGUAGGAAAUCUUCCGCAAUGGGCGAAAGCCUGACGGAGCAACGCCGCGGGAGUGAUGAAGGUCUUCGGAUCGUAAAACUCUGUUAUUAGGGAAGAACAAAUGUGUAAGUAACUAUGCACGUCUUGACGGUACCUAAGCAGAAAGCCACGGCUAACUACGU